ACCGUCGUCAAAUCUCAAAGCUCCGACAGCCCUAAUUCUCUUCUCUUCUUUCCUGAUUCUCUGAAAAACAUGGUAAAAAAAAUACUAUGACAAACAAAGAGAAAGCAGAAGGUUAGCUAUUUUUUAUCGAUAUCAGGUUAAAUCUCUGCAACUAGGAGAGGAGGAAGGUUGCUUAAUAGUUCAAUUUUUUAUUCUGGAGUUAGUAAGGAACGACUACCAGGACCUAAAAAGAGGAGGGCAAGAAGACAUCAUGUUGAUAAAACUAUCCGAGAAAAGAAAAGAAAAGAAAAAAAAGUGGAGAUGAAGUCCGGGUUGCAAGUAUUGUAUUGAAAACAAAGAUGGUUGUUUGCAAAUAACUUACAGUGGUGCCUGGUGGACUUCCUGCCCAACAUCGUGCAAUAUUCAAUAGGUGACACAUUAAAACUGCUCUAAUUUCUAAAUGUCAUACUAAUAUACACGACCUACAAGUGCAGUAGAAUUGAUGCAUUUAUAGGAUACUAUGGCGGUUCUAGAUGGAAAUUCC